ACCUUACCAGGGCUUGACAUCCAGUGCAAAGCUAUAGAGAUAUAGUGGAGGUUAACAUUGAGACAGGUGGUGCAUGGUUGUCGUCAGUUCGUGCCGUGAGGUGUUGGGUUAAGUCCCGCAACGAACGCAACCCUUGUCGUUAGUUACUAACAUUAAGUUGAGGACUCUAACGAGACUGCUAGUGUAAGCUAGAGGAAGGUGGGGAUGACGUCAAAUCAUCAUGCCCCUUAUGUCCUGGGCUACACACGUGCUACAAUGGCUGGUACAAAGAGUCGCAAUCUCGCGAGGGGGAGCUAAUCUCAAAAAGCCAGUCUCAGUUCGGAUUGAAGUCUGCAACUCGACUUCAUGAAGCCGGAAUCACUAGUAAUCGCGAAUCAGCUAUGUCGCGGUGAAUACGUUCUCGGGUCUUGUACACACCGCCCGACACACCACGAGAGUUGGUAAUACCAGAAG
rnacentral:rRNA from 1 species